rnacentral:tRNA from 1 species
UCCCUAGUGGCUUAGAUGGUAAAGAAUCUGCCUGUAAUGCAGGAGACCCAGGUUCGAUCCUUGGGUCGGGAA